rnacentral:rRNA from 1 species
CUACGGGUGGCUGCAGUGAGGAAUAUUGCACAAUGGGGGGAACCCUGAUGCAGCAACGCCGCGUGGAGGAUGACGCAUUUCGGUGUGUAAACUCCUUUUAUAUGUCAAGAAAAUGACGGUAGCAUAUGAAUAAGCGCCGGCUAACUCCGUGCCAGCAGCCGCGGUAAUACGGAGGGCGCAAGCGUUACUCGGAAUCACUGGGCGUAAAGGACGCGUAGGCGGGUUGAAAAGUCAGGUGUGAAAGCCUACAGCUUAACUGUAGAACUGCACUUGAAACUCUCAACCUAGAGUAUGGGAGGGGCAGAUGGAAUUAGUGGUGUAGGGGUAAAAUCCGUAGAUAUCACUAGGAAUACCUAAAGCGAAGGCGAUCUGCUGGAACAUUACUGUCGCUAAGGCGUGAAAGCGUGGGGAGCAAACAGGAUUAGAUACCCCUGUAGUC